AGAGUUUGAUCCUGGCUCAGAAUCAACGCUGGCGGCGUGCCUAACACAUGCAAGUCGAACGAGAAAGUGGAGCAAUCCAUGAGUAAAGUGGCGACCGGGUGAGUAACACGUGACUAACCUACCUUCAAGUGGGGGAUAACAUCGGGAAACCGAUGCUAAUACCGCAUAAUAUCGCAAGAUCAAAGCAGCAAUGCGCUGGAAGAGGGGGUCGCGGCUGAUUAGCUAGUUGGCGGGGUAACGGCCCACCAAGGCGAAGAUCGGUAUCCGGCCUGAGAGGGCGCACGGACACACUGGAACUGAAACACGGUCCAGACUCCUACGGGAGGCAGCAGUGGGGAAUUUUGCGCAAUGGGGGAAACCCUGACGCAGCAACGCCGCGUGGAGGAUGAAGCCCCUUGGGGCG
rnacentral:rRNA from 1 species